AUCGCUUCUCGGCCUUUUGGCUAAGAUCAAGUGUAUUAUCUGCAUUUACAAUUAAUUAACUGAGACUGUACUUGGAGGAAAGUAAGACUAAGACAGCAGCUCUUCCUAAAUUGCACUGUUAGUAAGAAACAAAAU
rnacentral:snRNA from 1 species